rnacentral:rRNA from 1 species
AUACGUAGGGGGCGAGCGUUGUCCGGAAUGAUUGGGCGUAAAGGGCGCGUAGGCGGCCUGUUAAGUCUGGAGUGAAAGUCCUGUUUUCAAGAUGGGAAUUGCUUUGGAUACUGAUGGGCUUGAGUGCAGGAGAGGUUAUCGGAAUUCCCGGUGUAGCGGUGAAAUGCGUAGAGAUCGGGAGGAACACCAGUGGCGAAGGCGGGUAACUGGACUGCAACUGACGCUGAGGCGCGAAAGUGUGGGGAGCAAACAGGAUUAGAUACCCUGGUAGUCCACACUGUAAACGAUGAAUGCUAGGUGUAAGAGGUAUCGACCCCUUUUGUGCCGGAGUUAACACAAUAAGCAUUCCGCCUGGGGAGUACGGCCGCAAGGUUGAAACUCAAAUGAAUUGACGG